rnacentral:rRNA from 1 species
CAGUCGCCACGGUAAUACAGAGGGUGCGAGCGUUAAUCGGAUUUACUGGGCGUAAAGCGUGCGUAGGCGGCUUUUUAAGUCGGAUGUGAAAUCCCUGAGCUUAACUUAGGAAUUGCAUUCGAUACUGGGAAGCUAGAGUAUGGGAGAGGAUGGUAGAAUUCCAGGUGUAGCGGUGAAAUGCGUAGAGAUCUGGAGGAAUACCGAUGGCGAAGGCAGCCAUCUGGCCUAAUACUGACGCUGAGGUACGAAAGCAUGGGGAGCAAACAGGAUUAGAUACCCCGGUAGUCCCUGUCUCUUAUAU